UAUCCCAGUCAAGUUGGGUGAAUUCUCCCCUGAAAUUCUUCCAUCACUCCUGAAGCAAAGAGGCAAGCCUUGAUGAAACAAAAGGAGCCCAAGUUUUGAGAUCAGACAGACUUGGGUUUGAAUCUCAACACUAUCCCUUCCUGGCUGUGUGACUUUGGAUAAGACCCGUGAACUCCCUGAACCUGAGCUGCAACCGUAAGCCAGAACACAUAUAAAGUGCUGAAUAAAUGGCAGCUGUCAGAAUUCUUAUUUAAUAUGUGCAUCCCAUUGGGUUGUACAUUUCUGCUGAUGCAUCAUUUUUUUCUGAGAUUCCCCAAGGCUGGACUGUGUCUUGUUCAACUUUGUCUUC
rnacentral:lncRNA from 1 species